rnacentral:piRNA from 1 species
UAAAAAAACCUGCUGGAAGGUCUAGUGA